rnacentral:rRNA from 1 species
UACGUAGGGUGCGAGCGUUAAUCGGAAUUACUGGGCGUAAAGCGUGCGCAGGCGGUUUCUUAAGCCAGAUGUGAAAUCCCCGGGCUUAACCUGGGAAUGGCAUUUGGAACUGGGAGACUAGAGUGUGUCAGAGGGGGGUGGAAUUCCACGUGUAGCAGUGAAAUGCGUAGAGAUGUGGAGGAACACCGAUGGCGAAGGCGGCCCCCUGGGAUAACACUGACGCUCAUGCACGAAAGCGUGGGGAGCAAACAGG